ACCUCAGGAAAACAUGAAGUCACUUGAGGGAAGGUACAGAUGGUUACUAUCACAGGAACAUUUGACAUCUUGCCUUUAGUUGAAUAAACCGGACACAAACCCAUAAUUGAGGAAGCAGAGUACAUUAGGAAGGACAAACAGAAGAGAUCCAGCAUAUAACACCAUGGGAAGAGAAAGGCAUGGGUAAAUGGCAAUACCCAAAUCAAACGGAGAUUCCCAGAGCCAUCCUGAAGCACAAAGUUACUUGUGUACUGC
rnacentral:lncRNA from 1 species